UUUAGCUUUUGAUGUAUAUAGUAAAUGCUUACUGCUGCUCGUCUCUCAAAAGAAAACGAUGUCGCUCCAUUUCGCCAAGAAUAGAGAACUCACCGCCAUUUGGAUUCGAUCACCCGGUGGGAUUUAAAAGCGCGGAUCGCGGGCCAAAGGCGGGAGAUCAUCCAUUCUUGUGUCUUAAUGCUCCUCUGUUUCUCUUGUACAAACAGGUUUGGUGUUGCCUUGAAAUGCCAAUAACCAAGAAUCAAGAAACCCCUUAUUCUCGCAACUCGCUCUAGCGCACACAUAGGGUUUUCAGUCCACGGAGCGAGUCUUCAUUGCAGUUCGUCCAUGAAAUCGGCACUCGAACUUCGCGGACUCGCUCGCCCCAAAAAGACUUCCUCGUGUAAUAGCUCUGAUUAUGCCUUAUUGUGCUUUAUAUUUGGCUACUAAUUUCAUUGCGAAGAUUGUAUCAGUACGGAGAAAAUGGCUGUUCAACUGGUUCGGCGGCAGUAACAGUAUCGAUGUAAAUAUCCGGAUGAAUUCUUAGACAAGCUCAACCCAAGUGAAAGAUUCUCAAAGUACAGCAGGUAUCACCCUUCGAGUAGUGAAAGUCCAGCUACAUUUGCAAAUGGAUUUGAGUUAUUUGAUAUCAUAGUUUUCUAAAUCACAUGUUUAUGGAUAUCCUUUGUUUCUUUUCUUCUUGGCUUUUGAAGCAAUCAAAGAGACUCUUGAA